CACCAAAAUUAGAAUUAUAUAUAUAUAUAUAUAUAUAUAUAUAAAGUGUUGGAUUUGAUGAAGUAAACAUUGGUGAUGUUAACAAUUAAAACUGAAGUCUUCAGCGAAGUGUUGAUGUUCAACUUAGUAUGGAGUUUUAUUGACAAUGUUGCAAGGGCAAACUUGAACAUCAAAUAUUGCCAUUUUCAAGUGAUGAAUUUGAUUGAAUAUUUUGUAUUUCAUAUCAUAAUAAUGUUGAAAAUAAAUAUGUGUUUGAAAAAGACGAGAUUAUGUAAUUUUUUUUUAUUUAUUUGUAACCCGAUUUCAUUUAAAAUUUAAAAUUGUUUAUAUACUCAAAAAAAUAUAUUUAAUAUGUAAUUUUAUGGGCAAUACUUACAUCUUUAUUUUCUGAUUGUUUUCUUUAGGUAAAAUUAAUGAUUGGAAUAAAAAACACUCUUUUAUUUCAUUAGGAAUUGUAUUGUCAUACUACAACUAUUUCCAAUUGAACCAACAUUCUUUUCUACUUUAUAUCACCACUGCAGUUUUGAUCCUUCACAUGGAUUAUCAAUGAAAUUUCAAUGAUUCAAGAACCAAGUGUGUCAAAUUAUUGCUAAUAAAACUUCGUUCCAAAAUUUGAUUAAACUAAUCUGAAUGUAAAAAUCUUAACUAAAAGAGAAUAAGAAUAUUUUUUUUUUCAAGUUACAUAUUUUAGCACGUUUUUUUUAAGAAAUAUAUAAUUUUCUAGCAUAUAUUAAAUAUUAAAUGUUUUCUUGAAAUUCUUUGCACUGCACCAAAUUUAAAGAAAAGAUAAAUUAUUAAUUUUCUUAUUUGCAAUAGCACA
rnacentral:lncRNA from 1 species